CCUCUUUGCAAGUCCGGUCGCCCGCUCUAUAUAGGACCCGUCGGGGCAACCCGACUAUGGGGCUAAACCCAUUGCGGAAUAAGCGUUACGGACCCGGGGGCGGUACCCGGCGGCUCCACCAACCUCACCCGGCGGGCUAACGUCGGUGGCAAGGGGCCGAAAUAGGAUCGACGUGCGUGGUAAAGGCAUUGGCUGUCCCCGGCAUGGCUCCACCGUUAUCGGGCCAAACGCAAUAGUUGCCAACGACAACUUUGCUGAGGUUCGCGCUGCUGCGUAAUGCGGCAUCGUAAACCGACUUGAAGUCCUGGCGGUUAGCCCCGUCGGGCGGGGUCCGGGAGGCACCUGGCAACAGAAGCCUCCCACU
rnacentral:tmRNA from 1 species